rnacentral:lncRNA from 1 species
AAAUUUAGCAAUUGUGAGAUUUCGGAGGAGACCAAAUGCAGACCAAUGCUGCAGUUUGCUUUUAUCCAAUAGCUGCUGGAAUACAAACAAGUUUAAUUUCAAGUCUUUUAUAGACUUGAACACAUGUACCUAGCUUACCGGUCUAGAUCGAGCCCGGUGCUGAGAGGGUGAAUGCUCAGAAGUUUCCGAAGGGAUGGUACAACUCAGUCCACUGAGGUUGAUCAACAUCACGCCCCUGCAAUGAGGACGGUGAUCAUUCAGGGUGGGCGGGACGAACGGGCUAUUCGACCCACUCGUGGCCUGUUGGGUCUUUGCUCGCUCG